rnacentral:rRNA from 1 species
UACGUAGGUGGCGAGCGUUGUCCGGAAUCAUUGGGCGUAAAGCGCGUGUAGGCGGUCCGGUAAGUCCGCUGUGAAAGUCGGGGGCUCAACCCUCGGAUGCCGGUGGAUACUGUCGGGCUUGAGUACGGAAGAGGCGAGUGGAAUUCCUGGUGUAGCGGUGAAAUGCGCAGAUAUCAGGAGGAACACCAAUUGCGAAGGCAGCUCGCUGGGACGUUACUGACGCUGAGACGCGAAAGCGUGGGGAGCAAACAGG